rnacentral:pre_miRNA from 1 species
CUUCUACUCCCUCCGUUCGGAAUUACUUGUCGUAGAAAUGGAUGUAUCUAGAUGUAUUUUAGUUCUAGAUAUAUCCAUUUCUGAAACAAGUAAUUCCGAACGGAGGGAGUAUGUU